UCAGUAACGGCGAGUGAAGCGGCAACAGCUCAAAUUUGAAAUCUGGCUCUUUUAGAGCCCGAGUUGUAAUUUGUAGAGGAUGCUUCGGCGUCGGCUUCGGUCUAAGUUCCUUGGAACAGGACGUCAUAGAGGGUGAGAAUCCCGUAUGUGAUCGGUUGCCUUUGCCAUGUGAAGCUCCUUCGACGAGUCGAGUUGUUUGGGAAUGCAGCUCUAAAUGGGAGGUAAAUUUCUUCUAAAGCUAAAUAUCGGCCAGAGACCGAUAGCGCACAAGUAGAGUGAUCGAAAGAUGAAAAGCACUUUGGAAAGAGAGUCAAAAAGUACGUGAAAUUGUUGAAAGGGAAGCGCUUGCAACCAGACCUGCCUGCAGUUGCUCAUCCGGGCUUUUGCCCGGUGCACUCUUCUGCUGUCAGGCCAGCAUCAGUUCGGGCGGUCGGAUAAAGGUUUCGGGAAUGUAGCUCCUCUUGGGGAGUGUUAUAGCCCGUUGCGAAAUGCGGCCAGCCUGGACUGAGGUCCGCGCUUCGGCUAGGAUGCUGGCGUAAUGGUUGUAAGCGGCCCGUCUUGAAACACGGACCAAGGAGUCUAACAUCUGUGCGAGUGUUUGGGUGUCAAACCCGUACGCGUAAUGAAAGUGAAUGGAGGCGGGAACCCCUCGGGGUGCACCGUCGACCGAUCCUGAUGUCUUCGGAUGGAUUUGAGUAAGAGCAUAGCUGUUGGGACCCGAAAGAUGGUGAACUAUGCCUGAAUAGGGUGAAGCCAGAGGAAACUCUGGUGGAGGCUCGCAGCGGUUCUGACGUGCAAAUCGAUCGUCAAAUUUGGGCAUAGGGGCG
rnacentral:rRNA from 1 species